AGUGAACGCUGGCGGUAGGCCUAGCACAUGCAAGUCGAACGGCAGCACAGUAAGAGCUUGCUCUUACGGGUGGCGAGUGGCGGACGGGUGAGGAAUACAUCGGAAUCUACUUUUUCGUGGGGGAUAACGUAGGGAAACUUACGCUAAUACCGCAUACGACCUACGGGUGAAAGCAGGGGAUCUUCGGACCUUGCGCGAUUGAAUGAGCCGAUGUCGGAUUAGCUAGUUGGCGGGGUAAAGGCCCACCAAGGCGACGAUCCGUAGCUGGUCUGAGAGGAUGAUCAGCCACACUGGAACUGAGACACGGUCCAGACUCCUACGGGAGGCAGCAGUGGGGAAUAUUGGACAAUGGGCGCAAGCCUGAUCCAGCCAUACCGCGUGGGUGAAGAAGGCCUUCGGGUUGUAAAGCCCUUUUGUUGGGAAAGAAAAGUAGCAGGUUAAUACCCCGCUGUUCUGACGGUACCCAAAGAAUAAGCACCGGCUAACUUCGU
rnacentral:rRNA from 1 species